UCCGUAGGGUGAACCUGCGGAGGGAUCAUUACCGAGUUUACAACUCCCAAACCCCUGUGAACAUACCAAUUGUUGCCUCGGCGGAUCAGCCCGCUCCCGGUAAAACGGGACGGCCCGCCAGAGGACCCCUAAACUCUGUUUCUAUAUGUAACUUCUGAGUAAAACCAUAAAUAAAUCAAAACUUUCAACAACGGAUCUCUUGGUUCUGGCAUCGAUGAAGAACGCAGCAAAAUGCGAUAAGUAAUGUGAAUUGCAGAAUUCAGUGAAUCAUCGAAUCUUUGAACGCACAUUGCGCCCGCCAGUAUUCUGGCGGGCAUGCCUGUUCGAGCGUCAUUUCAACCCUCAAGCCCAGCUUGGUGUUGGGACUCGCGAGUCAAAUCGCGUUCCCCAAAUUGAUUGGCGGUCACGUCGAGCUUCCAUAGCGUAGUAGUAAAACCCUCGUUACUGGUAAUCGUCGCGGCCACGUUGUUAAACCCCAACUUCUGAAUGUUGACCUCGGAUCAGGUAGGAAUACCCGCUGAACUUAAGCAUAUCAAUAAGCGGAGGA
rnacentral:rRNA from 1 species